rnacentral:rRNA from 1 species
CCUACGGGCGGCAGCAGUGAGGAAUAUUGGUCAAUGGGCGCGAGCCUGAACCAGCCAAGUAGCGUGAAGGAUGACUGCCCUACGGGUUGUAAACUUCUUUUAUAAAGGAAUAAAGUGAGGCACGUGUGCCUUUUUGUCUGUACUUUAUGAAUAAGGAUCGGCUAACUCCGUGCCAGCAGCCGCGGUAAUACGGAGGAUCCGAGCGUUAUCCGGAUUUAUUGGGUUUAAAGGGAGCGUAGGAGGGUUGGUAAGUCAGUUGUGAAAGUUUGCGGCUCAACCGUAAAAUUGCAAAUGAUAAUGGGCGAUCUGAGUUACGUUGAGGGAAGGGGAAUUCGUGGUGUAGCGGUGAAAUGCUUA